AAUCCGUGUUGCGGGCACUUUCUUAGGAGCUCCUUGAACCUUUCUCAUGUCUUAAAUAGAACUCCAAUUCCGGCUGAACAAAGGAUAAGAUCUCAUUCCUAAGCUU